rnacentral:rRNA from 1 species
UUGAACGCUGGCGGCAUGCUUUACACAUGCAAGUCGAACGGCAGCGGGGGCUUCGGCCUGCCGGCGAGUGGCGAACGGGUGAGUAAUACAUCGGAACGUGCCCUGAAGUGGGGGAUAACGUAGCGAAAGUUACGCUAAUACCGCAUAUUCUGUGAGCAGGAAAGCAGGGGAUCGCAAGACCUUGCGCUUUAGGAGCGGCCGAUAUCAGAUUAGCUAGUUGGUGGGGUAAAGGCUCACCAAGGCGACGAUCUGUAGCUGGUCUGAGAGGACGACCAGCCACACUGGAACUGAGACACGGUCCAGACUCCUACGGGAGGCAGCAGUGGGGAAUUUUGGACAAUGGGCGCAAGCCUGAUCCAGCAAUGCCGCGUGCAGGAUGAAGGCCUUCGGGUUGUAAACUGCUUUUGUACGGAACGAAAAGACUCCUUCUAAUAAAGGGGGUUCAUGACGGUACCGUAAGAAUAAGCACCGGCUAACUACGU